UUUGAUCGAGCCCACCCACAACGGCCGCUCCGCCGGGCGGUCCUGCCCAUAGGCAGCCAGAAGUGCUUGCGCCUC
rnacentral:antisense_RNA from 2 species